rnacentral:rRNA from 1 species
GACGAACGCUAGCGGCAGGCUUAAUACAUGCAAGUCGAACGCCCCGCAAGGGGAGUGGCAGACGGGUGAGUAACGCGUGGGAAUCUACCUAGUUCUACGGAACAACACAGGGAAACUUGUGCUAAUACCGUAUACGCCCUACGGGGGAAAGAUUUAUCGGAAUUGGAUGAGCCCGCGUAAGAUUAGCUAGCUGGUGGGGUAAUGGCCUACCAAGGCGACGAUCUUUAGCUGGUCUGAGAGGAUGAUCAGCCACACUGGGACUGAGACACGGCCCAGACUCCUACGGGAGGCAGCAGUGGGGAAUAUUGGACAAUGGGCGAAAGCCUGAUCCAGCCAUGCAGCGUGAGUGAUGAAGGCCUUAGGGUUGUAAAGCUCUUUCAGUAGGGAAGAUAAUGACGGUACCUACUGAAGAAGCCCCGGCUAACUUCGUGCCAGCAGCCGCCGUAACAC